rnacentral:rRNA from 1 species
AUUGAACGCUGGCGGCAGGCUUAACACAUGCAAGUCGAGCGGGGUGAUGGUGCUUGCACUAUCACUUAGCGGCGGACGGGUGAGUAAUGCUUAGGAAUCUGCCUAUUAGUGGGGGACAACAUCUCGAAAGGGAUGCUAAUACCGCAUACGUCCUACGGGAGAAAGCAGGGGAUCACUUGUGACCUUGCGCUAAUAGAUGAGCCUAAGUCGGAUUAGCUAGUUGGUGGGGUAAAGGCCUACCAAGGCGACGAUCUGUAGCGGGUCUGAGAGGGUGGUGCGCCACACUGGGACUGAGACGCGGCCCAGACUCCUACGGGAGGCAGCAGUGGGGAAUAUUGGACAAUGGGGGGAACCCUGAUCCAGCCAUGCCGCGUGUGUGAAGAAGGCCUUAUGGUUGUAAAGCACUUUAAGCGAGGAGGAGGCUCUUUUGGUUAAUACCCAAGAUGAGUGGACGUUACUCGCAGAAUAAGCACCGGCUAACUCUGUGCCAGCCGCCGCAGUAA